GUACAUACCUGGCAGGGGAGACACCAUGAUCACGAAGGUGGUUUUCCCAGGCAAGGCUCAUCCAUUGCACUCUGGAUGUGCAGACCCCUGCGAUUUCCCCAAAUGUGGGAAACUUGACUGCAUCAUUUUUUUUCUUCAUUGAUAUUGUAAAUUUUUAUUUUGCAAUUA